rnacentral:rRNA from 1 species
GAUGAACGCUAGCUACAGGCUUAACACAUGCAAGUCGAGGGGUAACGAGAGGAAAGCUUGCUUUCCUUGUCGACGACCGGCGCACGGGUGAGUAACGCGUAUCCAACCUGCCCCCAACUAGGGAAUAACCUUGCGAAAGUAAGACUAAUACCCUAUAAUUUCCUAAGAUGUAAUCUGACGAGGAAUAAAGAUUUAUCGGUUGUGGAUGGGGAUGCGUCUGAUUAGCUUGUUGGCGGGGUAACGGCCCACCAAGGCAACGAUCAGUAGGGGUUCUGAGAGGAAGGUCCCCCACAUUGGAACUGAGACACGGUCCAAACUCCUACGGGAGGCAGCAGUGAGGAAUAUUGGUCAAUGGGCGGAAGCCUGAACCAGCCAAGUAGCGUGCAGGAUGACGGCCCUAUGGGUUGUAAACUGCUUUUAUACAGGAAUAAAGUUAGCCACGUGUGGUUAUUUGUAGGUACUGUAUGAAUAAGGACCGGCUAAUUCCGUGCCAGCCGCCGCGGUAA